GGAGUUGUGGCUCAGUGGUAGAGCACUUGCCUCACAUGCAUGAGGCCCUGGGUUUGAUCCUCAGCACCA
rnacentral:tRNA from 1 species